rnacentral:rRNA from 1 species
AGGACGAACGCUGGCGGCGCGCUUAAUACAUGCAAGUCGAGCGAGAACCAGGGCUUCGGCUCUGGGGACAGCGGCGAACGGGUGAGUAACACGUGGGUAAUCAACCCCCGACACCGGGAUAGCCCAGGGAAACUUGGAUUAAUACCGGAUGCUCCGUCUGGCUUUAGGGCCGGCCGGAAAAGGGUAGCUUCGGCCUCCGGUCGGGGACGAGCCCGCGGCGGAUUAGCUUGUUGGUGAGGUAAAGGCUCACCAAGGCGACAAUCCGUAGCUGGUCUGAGAGGACGAUCAGCCACACUGGGACUGAGACACGGCCCAGACUCCUACGGGAGGCAGCAGUAGGGAAUCUUGCGCAAUGGGCGAAAGCCUGACGCAGCGACGCCGCGUGAGGGAAGAAGGCCUUCGGGUUGUAAACCUCUUUCAGGAGGGACGAAGCCACUCGGGUUAAUAGCCUAGAGGGUGACGGUACCUCCAGAAGAAGCCCGGCUAACUACGUGCCAGCAGCCGCGU